rnacentral:lncRNA from 1 species
UACAAGUUAUAUUAUUUGUUUUUAUGCCCCACCUACGAUAGUAGAGGGGCAUUAUGUUUUCUGGUCUGUGCGUCCGUCUGUCCGUCCGUCUGUCCGUUCGUUCGUCCGUCCGUCUGUCCCGCUUCAGGUUAAAGUUUUUGGUCAAGGUAGUUUUUGAUGAAGUUUAAGUCCAAUCGACUUCAAACUUAGUACACAUGUCCCCUAUGAUAUGAUCUUUCUAAUUUUAAUGCCAAAUUAGAGUUUUUACCCCAAUUUCACGGUCCACUGAACAUGGAAAAUGAUAGUGCGAGUGGGGCAUUCGUGUACUGAGGACACAUUCUUGUUAUAUGAUAUAA